AACUUUCAGCAACGGAUCACUUGGCUCUCGCAUCGAUGAAGAACGCAGCGAAAUGCGAUAAGUAAUGUGAAUUGCAGAUUUCAGUGAAUCAUCGAAUCUUUGAACGCACCUUGCGCCCCUUGGUAUUCCGAGGGGCAUGCCUGUUUGAGUGUCAUCAAAUCCUCAACCCCCUCCGAUUUGUUUCGGUGGGGGAUUGGACUUGGAGCGUGCUGGCGAAGGUCGGCUCCUCUUUAAAUGCAUCAGCGGAGAAAAUGCCUUUUGCGCCUCUGGCCGUUCAGCGUGAUAAUGACGUUGCGCUGCGGUCGAGCUCAAGGUCCGCUUCCAAAGGUCCUCGGACGAACGUAAACAUGACUUUUGACCUCAAAUCAGGUAGGACUACCCGCUGAACUUAAGCAUAUCAAUAAGCGGAGGCU
rnacentral:misc_RNA from 1 species